rnacentral:rRNA from 1 species
CCUACGGGAGACAGCAGUGAGGAAUAUUGGUCAAUGGUCGGGAGACUGAACCAGCCAAGCCGCGUGAGGGAUGAAGGUACAGAGUAUCGUAAACCUCUUUUGUCAGGGAACAAAGUCGGGGACGUGUCCCCUUAUGAGUGUACCUGAAGAAAAAGCAUCGGCUAACUCCGUGCCAGCAGCCGCGGUAAUACGGAGGAUCCGAGCGUUAUCCGGAUUUAUUGGGUUUAAAGGGUGCGCAGGCGGUCUGUUAAGUCAGCGGUAAAAGCCGGGGGCUCAACCCCGGACCGCCGUUGAAACUGGCAGUCUCGAGUUGGAGAGAAGUAGGCGGAAUGCGCGGUGUAGCGGUGAAAUGCAUAGAUAUCGCGCAGUACUCCGAUUGCGAAGGCAGCAUGCCGGAUCCACACUGACGCUGAGGCACGAAAGCGUGGGUAUCGAACAGGAUUAGAUACCCCAGUAGUC